ACCCUUAUCGUUUUUUUACUUAAUCAAUGAAGCGGAACUGGUCUUCAUCGACCAUUUUCUUGCAUUAAAGUCCUUCGCGGGCUGAUCCGGGUUGAUGACAUUGUCAGGUGGGGAGUUUGGCUGGGGCGGCACAUCUGUUAAACCAUAACGCAGGUGUCCUAAGGGGGGCUCAUGGAGAACAGAAAUCUCCAGUAGAACAAAAGGGUAAAAGUCCCCUUGAUUUUGAUUUUCAGUGUGAAUACAAAC
rnacentral:rRNA from 13 species